rnacentral:lncRNA from 1 species
UUUUGGGCAGAUAUCUAUGGUAAUAUACAAUGGCGGAAAGCAUGGAAAAUUGCUAAAAAAAUAUUGUAAGGCUUGAGAUAAUUGAGACAUGGAUUGUGAAUGUGUGCCAUUCAGAGGGUGAAUGGGCAAGACAAAAUAUUUACAUGCCUUUCAACGGGGCAUGGUAGUAGGUGCCAGGGGUACCAGUUUGUGUCAAGAACUGCAACGCUGCUGUUUUUUUUACGCUUCAAAGUCUCCCGUGUGUAUCAAGAAUGGUCCACCACUCAAAAGACAAUUUGACACAACUGUGGGACUGUCCUCAUAUACACAUUAUGACAUAAUAAAGAGCUUAAUCUUUCACGAAAUAAAGACAUAGAAGCAUACCCAAUUAUACAGGUUCUACACAUUCCAUUUCUCCAUGGCAAUAGAAUGUAAACAUUCUAUUUUGCACCAAACAUCGCCUACAACUCAAUUCUAAGUGCAGCAUAUUGGACGACAACACACUCAUUGAUCAUUUGCAACUUUAAGUCAUUCCUGUUAUCUCUAGAGCAUCCCGUAUAUCUAUAGCGCUGCAUUUCUUCCCCAUCUUUCCAUGGAUAGGGUUUGGUGCAUUCCGGAGUUCACUUAUGGUCCCACAAAGGAAUUCUGUAGAAGCAGCCUUUAUUUUCAGACUCUGCAGGCCUGCUGGGAGGAAACAUAUUACAAUAAACAGAAGAAGGUCAUGGUCCAUUAUCUGCUGCUCCAGAGUCAAGGCCAGGUCCCGCCCCAUGUCACCACGGAGCACAUGAGCAACUGGCUGGUGUCUCAGGGCAAAAAAUCCCUUAGGGAGAGGGUGUGGAAGGAAACCCUGGAGGAGGGAAACGACCUCGCUCGGCUGGCCUGGGAAGUAAACACUUGCCUAAAAAUGAUGGACAUAGAGCACGAGGCUUUCUGCAAGCUCCGCCGCUCCAUGCACUCCACCUCGCCAGCUGACAUGUGAGUUCCAUGUACUGCCCUGCAUGACUUGAUCCAUUUAUCUACACAUCUGGAACUACGCAGAAACAGACUAAGACAGUGUUCUCUGUGAGGACAUUGCACAUCGUUUA